rnacentral:rRNA from 1 species
AUUGAACGCUGGCGGCAUGCCUUACACAUGCAAGUCGAACGGCAGCACGGGAGCAAUCCUGGUGGCGAGUGGCGAACGGGUGAGUAAAGUAUCGGAACGUGCCCAGUCGUGGGGGAUAACGUAGCGAAAGUUACGCUAAUACUGCAUACGAUCUAUGGAUGGAAGCGGGGGAUCGCAAGACCUCGCGCGAUUGGAGCGGCCGAUAUCAGAUUAGGUAGUUGGUGGGGUAAAGGCUCACCAAGCCGACGAUAUGUAGCUGGUCUGAGAGGACGACCAGCCACACUGGGACUGAGACACGGCCCAGACUCCUACGGGAGGCAGCAGUGGGGAAUUUUGGACAAUGGGCGAAAGCCUGAUCCAGCCAUGCCGCGUGCAGGAUGAAGGCCUUCGGGUUGUAAACUGCUUUUGUACGGAACGAAAAGGUUUGGCCUAAUAAGCUGAGCUCAUGACGGUACCGUAAGAAUAAGCACCGGCUAACUACGUGCCAGCCGCCGCAGUAA